UACGUAGGGGGCAAGCGUUGUCCGGAUUCAUUGGGCGUAAAGGGCGCGUAGGCGGCCACCGCAAGUCAGUUGUGAAAUCUCUGGGCUUAACCCAGAAAGGUCAACUGAUACUGCGGGGCUAGAGUGCAGAAGGGGCAACUGGAAUUCUCGGUGUAGCGGUGAAAUGCGUAGAUAUCGAGAGGAACACCUGCGGCGAAGGCGGGUUGCUGGGCUGACACUGACGCUGAAGCGCGAAAGCUAGGGGAGCGAACGGG
rnacentral:rRNA from 1 species